AUUGAACGCUGGCGGCAGGCCUAACACAUGCAAGUCGAACGAGUGGCGGACGGGUGAGUAAUGUCUGGGAAACUGCCUGAUGGAGGGGGAUAACUACUGGAAACGGUAGCUAAUACCGCAUACCAUCGGAUGUGCCCAGAUGGGAUUAGCUAGUAGGUGGGGUAAAGGCUCACCUAGGCGCCGCUCCCUAGCUGGUAUGAGAGGAUGACCAGGCACAUUGGAACUGAGACACGGUCCAGACUCCUACGGGAGGCAGCAGUGGGGAAUAUUGCCCAAUGGGGUCAAGUCGGAGGCAGUCAUGCCGCGUGUAUGAAGAAGGGCUUCGGGUUGUAAAGUACUUUCAGCGGGGAGGCGUUACCCGCAGAAGAAGCACCGGCUAACUCUGUGCCAGCAGCCGCGGUAAUUC
rnacentral:rRNA from 1 species